CCUCCUUAUACGAUUUAGAACUUAUUUGUUCGUAGUGUCCACACAGAUGAUUGUUAGUUAGUUUUACCCUUUGGGUUAACUAAUUAAUAUGCUCUUUAAAAAUUUGGAAAAGCUGAUAAUAAAAUUCGUAUGAAUAACAUCGUUAUUUGUACAGAGUUUUCAAAAGUAAAAAAGAAUGAUAGCAGUAUCAUUCAGUGCCAAUUUAAUCCUCGGAUUAAUUGGUAUCUACUUUAGUAUUCAAUAUUAACUUCUGGCGAAGUUGAACUGUCACGAAACAAAGACCCGUUUGGGUUGUAUGGUUAAGUGACUAAGCGUACACGGUGGAUGC
rnacentral:misc_RNA from 1 species